rnacentral:rRNA from 1 species
GGUAUAGCAAUAUACCUUAGUGGCGAACGGGUGAGUAAUAUGUGGGAAUCUACCCAUUGGAGGGAAAUAUGUAUUGGAAACGAUAAUUAAUGUCCCGUAAGCCCGAGAGGGGAAAGCAGCAAUGCGCCAAUGGAUGAGCCCAUAUCAGGUUGUAGUUGGUGGGGUAACGGCCUACCAAGCAAUAAUCUGUAACUGGUCUGAGAGGAUGGUCAGUCACACUGGAACUGAGAUACGGUCCAGACUUCUACGGAAGGCAGCAGUGGGGAAUUUUGGGCAAUGGGGGAAACCCUGACCCAGGUAUACCUCGUGGAUGAAGAAGGCCUUAGGGUUGUAAAGUCCUUUUACUAGGGAGCAUAUUGAGAGUACCUAGAGAAUAAGCACCGGCUAACUCUGUGCCAGCAGCCGCGGUAAUACAGAGGGUGCAAGCGUUGUUCGGAAUGACUGGGCGUAAAGGGCAGGUAGACUGCUUAAUAAGUUAGUAGUGAAAUCCACGGGCUUAACCCGUGUGCUGCUAUUAAUACUGUUAAGAUAGAGAAAAAAAGAGGCAAAUGGAAUUUCUAGUGGAGAGGUAAAAUUCGUUGAUAUUAGAAGGAACACCAGAGGCGAAGGCGAUUUGCUGAUUUUUUCUGACGUUGAGCUGCGAAAGCGUGGGGAGCAAACAGGAUUAGAUACCCUGGUAGUCCACGCCGUAAACGAUGAGUGCUGGAUAUUGGAACAUUUUUCCAGUGUCGAAGCUAACGCGUUAAGCACUCCGCCUGGGUAGUA